rnacentral:lncRNA from 1 species
UACACAUAUCUAUUCUGAAAUGACUGAAUGAAUAUCUUCAGUCAUUGACUAGAUUUGUAUAAGGCAAUAACAGCAGUGACAAGAACACAAUGACAUUUUAUUUUUUUAAGGAAUGGACUCAUGAUUUUGGGGUCUGACAAGUACAAAAUCUGUAGCAUGCUGUAAAUUCAGGUAAAUACUGAUCUUACAACAGUCUUGAGUCUGAAUUCUGCAGGGCAGCCUUUAGAAACUCAGGCACGCUUUCCAUGUUACAGUCUUGAGAAUUUGUUCUUCCUCUGGAAACCUGUCUUUACUCGUGAGGUCUUCAGAACAGACCAGAGAAUGGGCUCUGUAAAAUGGUGAGGAUGGAAAGAAGAAACCAAUCUGCUGUGCACCUGUGUAUAGAGCAUCCGGCAGUUCUAGGUGCAAUGUUUUAAGGGGAAGACUUACACUAUGAAGCUAGCCCAGAAGAGGGUGACUAGAGUACUGAGGAGUUUCUACCUGGAAGGGCUGUAAGGAAGACAACUGCUAUGUUGUGAGCGGCUCUAUGGAGAGGCCCAUGUGGAGGGAAGUGAGGAAGGCCUCUGGCCAACAGUCCAGGAGGAAGUGAAGCCCUCAGUCCAACAGCCUGUGUGGAACUGAACCCUGCAAACAACUCUGUGUGUGAGCUUGGAAGUGGAUCCAUAUUCAGUCAAACCUUGAGAUGGGACACCAUGCUCUGCUAACACUUGAUUGUGGUCCCAGCUAGGCCACUGCUGAAGUCUUGACUCAGAGAAACGAUGAUAUAGUAAAUGUUUGUUGUUUCAAGUUGGUAAGUUUUGGGAUAAUUUUUUAUAUAGUGAUAAUUUUUUAUAUACUUUAAAAUAACACAUUGCCCUAUCCUUUGGUUACACUUUUCUCUUGGAACUCUGCUUGCCCAUAUAUUACAGAAAUAUUUUUCAGAUCAUGGGCUGAAAGGUGGAUUAUGGAUGCAAUGUUUAAAUUUAGCAAUGUCAUUUAUGACUGUUCAUAUGAGCUUUGCUGCAUAAAAUGUUGAUAUUAAUUUGUUUCCCUUUAAGACAUUCUUAAUGUUUACCUCUCAGUAUUUUCUUUGUAAUCAAUUAAUGUAAGAUGAAUAUAGUUUGUAGGUUUUACCUUUCUUGAUUCGUAUACAAAACACACAACAUCCAACCAUUGUUAUUUAAAGAUUAUCUAGGAGGAGAUGAUGGAAACUCUGUUUUGGGCCACCUUCUUUACACAUUGGGUCUAUUUCCCCUAACUUGAGUAUAUAUUAAACUAGUGGGGGAUUGAGCUACAAAAAUGCUACUUGGUGAGAAUUUUAUUAAUACAAAUACUCAACUCUGAAGUUACGUUUUUGUGGAAAGUUAUCACUUUGGAAUUUGAAUUUUCUUGGAGCUAAGCCACUGGUAGUUGUAAAAGCUACACCUGUAAAUUUGCUCCCUAGAAGAUACUUUCGUUUAGUGACCACUUGUUUCUCUGUGGAUAAAUUCAAUUAUAAAUUACAA